rnacentral:piRNA from 1 species
ACAAACAGAUGGAGAACAUAAGG